UAAGGGUCGAUUAGAAUGACCAGAAUUAUUAAUGAAAACUUCGUCAUGAAGUGGUUUUUGCUGCUGUCUUUGGUGGUGGCUGUGGUGGCAGAGAAAGCUGGCGAGCUGCCCUCACCUGAGCCUUGUGAUGAGGAGGCGUGCAAGCUGCCAGAGUGCAGAUGCUCCUCCACUGAGAUACCUGGAGGAUUGGCUCCGAGGGACACUCCGCAGUUCGUCUCCGUGACGUUCGACGAUGGCGUCAACGUUCUCAACAUGUGGACCUAUCGAGACGUGAUCUUCAACCGUCGCAACUCCAACGGCUGUCCUGCCGGCACCACGUUCUACGUGAGCCACGAGUAUACCAACUACCAGCUCAUCAACGAGCUGUACAACCGCGGGUACGAGAUCGCGCUCCACUCCAUCUCACACCGUGUGCCGCAGAGCUGGUGGUCCAUCGCCAGCCUCGAAGACAUUAGGAAGGAGAUCGGCGAGCAGAAGGGACAGAUAGCUCAUUUCGCUAACAUCCCUGCAGAUCAAAUUAAAGGUGUCCGCCUUCCGUUCCUACAGAUGACUGGAAACACAAGCUUCCAAAUGAUGAAAGAGUUUGACUUGAUGUACGAUCACUCCUGGCCUACGGCGGCCUACAGAGCCCCUGGUCUCUGGCCCUACACUCUGCACUACGAAUCUACCCAGGAAUGCUUUAUACCGCCUUGUCCCACCGCUUCCAUCCCCGGACCUUGGGUGCUGCCCAUGAUCACUUGGGCUGAUCCUAGAGGUUUCCCGUGCGCUAUGGUUGAUGCUUGUUCCUACUUCCCCGACCGUGAGGACGAGAACGCGUGGUUCACCUUCAUAAUGCAGAACUUCGAGCGGCACUACUUCGGGAACCGCGCGCCCUUCGGCUUCUACGUGCACGAGGGCUACAUCAGGGCCUACCCUGCCGUACAAAGGGCAUUCGUACGAUUCCUGGACACCAUCAACAAUCUUAACGAUGUCUUCAUGGUGAAUGCUGUUGAUAUUAUUGAGUGGGUGAAGAACCCCGUGCCAGUGAACGAGUACAGAUCAAGACCCUGCAAGACUGUGCCUUCCACCAUUUGUAUGGCGAGGAACUGUGGACCUCUCGUAGCAGCUCAUAAUCAGAUAACCCACUGGAUUCCGGUUUGCAAUGUCUGCCCUGCCAACUACCCUGGGUGGGUAACCCAUUAGGCCGUUAAUAUAACAAUUAAAAGUUUUCCAA